rnacentral:rRNA from 1 species
CUCUUGAUGGCGAGUGGCGGACGGGUGAGUAAUGCAUCGGGACCUACCCAGACGUGGGGGAUAACCUCGGGAAACCGGGACUAAUACCGCAUACGUCCUACGGGAGAAAGCGGGGGACCUUCGGGCCUCGCGCGGUUGGACGGACCGAUGUGCGAUUAGCUAGUUGGUAGGGUAAAGGCCUACCAAGGCGACGAUCGCUAGCUGGUCUGAGAGGAUGAUCAGCCACACUGGGACUGAGACACGGCCCAGACUCCUACGGGAGGCAGCAGUGGGGAAUAUUGGACAAUGGGCGCAAGCCUGAUCCAGCAAUGCCGCGUGUGUGAAGAAGGCCCUCGGGUUGUAAAGCACUUUUAUCAGGAACGAAAUACCACGGGUUAAUACCCUAUGGGGCUGACGGUACCUGAGGAAUAAGCACCGGCUAACUUCGUGCCAGCAGCCGCGGUAAUACGAAGGGUGCAAGCGUUAAUCGGAAUUACUGGGCGUAAAGGGUGCGUAGGCGGUUCGUUAAGUCUGUUGUGAAAUCCCCGGGCUCAACCUGGGAAUGGCAAUGGAUACUGGCGAGCUAGAGUGUGUCAGAGGAUGGUGGAAUUCCCGGUGUAGCGGUGAAAUGCGUAGAGAUCGGGAGGAACAUCAGUGGCGAAGGCGGCCAUCUGGGACAACACUGACGCUGAAGCACGAAAGCGUGGGGAGCAAACAGGAUUAGAUACCC